rnacentral:rRNA from 1 species
AAGCGUAACGGAGGAGUUCGAAGGUACGCUAGUUACGGUCGGACAUCGUGACGAUAGUGCAAUGGCAUAAGCGUGCUUAACUGCGAGACUGACAAGUCGAGCAGAUGCGAAAGCAGGACAUAGUGAUCCGGUGGUUCUGUAUGGAAGGGCCAUCGCUCAACGGAUAAAAGGUACUCUGGGGAUAACAGGCUGAUACCGCCCAAGAGUUCAUAUCGACGGCGGUGUUUGGCACCUCGAUGUCGGCUCAUCUCAUCCUGGGGCUGUAGCCGGUCCCAAGGGUAUGGCUGUUCGCCAUUUAAAGAGGUACGUGAGCUGGGUUUAAAACGUCGUGAGACAGUUUGGUCCCUAUCUUCCGUGGGCGCUGCAGAUUUGAGGAAGCCUGCUCCUAGUACGAGA